GAUGAACGCUGGCGGCGUGCCUAAUACAUGCAAGUCGAGCGAACAGACGAGGAGCUUGCUCCUCUGACGUUAGCGGCGGACGGGUGAGUAACACGUGGAUAACCUACCUAUAAGACUGGGAUAACUUCGGGAAACCGGAGCUAAUACCGGAUAACAUGUUGAACCGCAUGGUUCAACAGUGAAAGACGGUUUUGCUGUCACUUAUAGAUGGAUCCGCGCCGCAUUAGCUAGUUGGUAAGGUAACGGCUUACCAAGGCAACGAUGCGUAGCCGACCUGAGAGGGUGAUCGGCCACACUGGAACUGAGACACGGUCCAGACUCCUACGGGAGGCAGCAGUAGGGAAUCUUUCGCAAUGGGCGAAAGCCUGACGGAGCAACGCCGCGUGAGUGAAGAAGGUCUUCGGAUCGUAAAACUCUGUUAUUAGGGAAGAACAAAUGUGUAAGUAACUAUGCACGUCUUGACGGUACCUAAUCAGAAAGCCACGGCUAACUACGU
rnacentral:rRNA from 1 species